AACGAACCGUGCGAACGUUGUUCGGAAUCACUGGGCUUAAAGGGCGCGUAGGCGGGCUGCCAAGUCUGGGGUGAAAUCCCACGGCUCAACCGUGGAACUGCCUCGGAUACUGGCGGUCUCGAGGGAGGUAGGGGCAUGCGGAACUGUGGGUGGAGCGGUGAAAUGCGUUGAUAUCCACAGGAACUCCGGUGGCGAAAGCGGCGUGCUGGACCUCUUCUGACGCUGAGGCGCGAAAGCUAGGGGAGCAAACGGG
rnacentral:rRNA from 1 species